CCUACGGGUGGCAGCAGUGAGGAAUAUUGGUCAAUGGACGAGAGUCUGAACCAGCCAAGUAGCGUGAAGGAUGAAUGCCCUAUGGGUUGUAAACUUCUUUUAUAUGGGAAUUAAAUGUUCCACGUGUGGGAUUUUGUAUGUACAAUAUGAAGCAGGCUGUGCUAACUCCGUGCCAGCAGCCGGGGUAAUACGGAGGAUCCGAGCGUUAUCCGGAUUUAUUGGGGUUAAAGGGAGCGUAGGUGGAUUUGUAAGUCAGUUGUGAAAGUUUGAGGCUCAACCGUAAAAUUGCAGUUGAAACUGGCAGUCUUGAGUAUAGGAGAGGUGGGCGGAAUUCGUGGUGUAGCGGUGAAAUGCUUAGAUAUCACGAAGAAUUCUGAUUGCGAAGGCAGCCCACUGGACUGCAACUGACACUGAGGCUCGAAAGUGUGGGGAUCAAACAGGAUUAGAUACCCCUGUAGUC
rnacentral:rRNA from 1 species